rnacentral:rRNA from 1 species
UAAGGUAACGGCUUACCAAGGCAACGAUGCAUAGCCGACCUGAGAGGGUGAUCGGCCACACUGGAACUGAGACACGGUCCAGACUCCUACGGGAGGCAGCAGUAGGGAAUCUUCCGCAAUGGGCGAAAGCCUGACGGAGCAACGCCGCGUGAGUGAUGAAGGUCUUCGGAUCGUAAAACUCUGUUAUUAGGGAAGAACAUAUGUGUAAGUAACUGUGCACAUCUUGACGGUACCUAAUCAGAAAGCCACGGCUAACUACGUGCCAGCAGCCGCGGUAAUACGUAGGUGGCAAGCGUUAUCCGGAAUUAUUGGGCGUAAAGCGCGCGUAGGCGGUUUUUUAAGUCUGAUGUGAAAGCCCACGGCUCAACCGUGGAGGGUCAUUGGAAACUGGAAAACUUGAGUGCAGAAGAGGAAAGUGGAAUUCCAUGUGUA